rnacentral:lncRNA from 1 species
AACCAGGUGCUCCGCAGGGCGCAGCUUUAUACGACCCCAGUGGUUGAACCCUGAACAGUUGGGGCAAAUUUGGUCACAAUAUUCAAGCUUGAUUCUGUCUGAAUUUGGAUUGUGAUCAAUUUUUGACAUAAUAUAGGUUUUUGUCACAAAAUUAAUGUGGUCAAAGAUCUAACAAAUCUAUUGCACAAUACUGUGCAAUUGAAGAUUUCUUCUUGAAACUUUUCAAAAUUCGAAAUUUGAAAAAUUAAAAAAAAAAAAGAAGAGCCCUUCAAAUAAUGGUAAACAAAAAAUCCCCCCCCCCCAACGUUUUGAAACCCCCUUGGAGCAAUAACCCUUAAACUCAAUCCCAUGCUUUCCAUUGCAGUAUUGAACCUUGUAGUACAAUUUCAGAGAGAUCCAUACACUUAAACACAAGUUAUUGUCAUGAUUGUUUGGAAACUAGAAACAUGCUUCUUUUGGCCCUUUUUUGGCCCCUUAUUGCUACAUAUUUUGGGCAAUUAACCCAAAACUUAAUCCCAGCCUUCCCUUUGUUAUAUGGUACAUUGUGGUACAAUUUCAGAGAGAUCCAUACAAUUACACAUAAGUUAUUGUCUUGUAACUAGAAAAAUGCUUGUUUUGACCCUUUUUUGUCCCUUAAUUCCUAAACUUUGGCCCCAUAACCCCUAAAAUGAAUCCAAACCUUCUACUUGUGGUUUUAAACAUUGCGGUAUGAUUUCAGAGCAAUUGAAAUACUUCUACACAAGUUAUUAUCCUGAAACUAGAAAAAUGUUUGUUUUGGGCCCCUAAUUCCUAAUCGGUUGGGACCAUCAUCCCCAAAUCAAUCCCAACCUUCCUUUUGUGGUAUUGAACCUUCUGAAAAAAUUUCAUGAAGAUCUAUUCACUUAAACUAAAGUUAUUAUCC